UACAGAGGUCUCAAGCGUUGUUCGGAUUCAUUGGGCGUAAAGGGUGCGUAGGUGGCGGGGCAAGUUUGGUGUGAAAUCCCGGGGCUCAACCCCGGAACUGCACUGAAUACUGCCUUGCUAGAGCACUGGAGAGGGAACUGGAAUUUACGGUGUAGCAGUGAAAUGCGUAGAUAUCGUAAGGGAAGACCAGUGGCGAAGGCGAGUUCCUGGACAGUUGCUGACACUGAGCACGAAGGCUAGGGGAGCAAACGGG
rnacentral:rRNA from 1 species